rnacentral:rRNA from 1 species
UCGGGAAUUUUGGGCAAUGGGCGAAAGCCUGACCCAGCAACGCCGCGUGAAGGAUGAAGUAUUUCGGUAUGUAAACUUCGAAAGAAUAGGAAGAAUAAAUGACGGUACUAUUUAUAAGGUCCGGCUAACUACGUGCCAGCAGCCGCGGUAAUACGUAGGGACCAAGCGUUGUUCGGAUUUACUGGGCGUAAAGGGCGCGUAGGCGGCAAUUCAAGUCAUCUGUGAAAUCUCCGGGCUUAACUCGGAACGGUCAGAUGAUACUGCUUUGCUAGAGUGCAGAAGGGGCAAUCGGAAUUCUUGGUGUAGCGGUGAAAUGCGUAGAUAUCAAGAGGAACACCUGAGGUGAAGACGGGUUGCUGGGCUGACACUGACGCUGAGGCGCGAAAGCGUGGGGAGCGAACAGGAUUAGAUACCCCGGUAGUCCCUGAGCGGGCUGGCAAGGCGCAU